AACGCGAAGCCGUAGCGAAAGCGAGUCUGAAUAGGGCGCUUAGUCAGAUGCUGCAGACCCGAAACGAAGUGAUCUAUCCAUGAGCAAGUUGAAGCUAGUGUAAGAACUAGUGGAGGACUGAACCCAUAGGCGUUGAAAAGCCCCGGGAUGACUUGUGGAUAGGGGUGAAAGGCCAAUCAAACUUCGUGAUAGCUGGUUCUCUCCGAAAUAUAUUUAGGUAUAGCGUUGUGUCGUAAUAUAAGGGGGUAGAGCACUGAAUGGGCUAGGGCAUACACCAAUGUACCAAACCCUAUCAAACUCCGAAUACCUUAUAUGUAAUCACAGCAGUCAGGCGGCGAGUGAUAAAAUCCGUCGUCAAGAGGGAAACAACCCAGACUACCAGCUAAGGUCCCUAAAUCUUACUUAAGUGGAAAACGAUGUGAAGUUACUUAAACAACCAGGAGGUUGGCUUAGAAGCAGCCAUCCUUUAAAGAAAGCGUAAUAGCUCACUGGUCUAGUGAUUUUGCGCGGAAAAUAUAACGGGGCUAAAGUAAGUACCGAAGCUGUAGACUUAGUUUACUAAGUGGUAGGAGAGCGUUCUAUUUGCGUCGAAGGUAUACCGGUAAGGAGUGCUGGAGCGAAUAGAAGUGAGCAUGCAGGCAUGAGUAGCGAUAAUUAAUGUGAGAAUCAUUAACGCCGUAAACCCAAGGUUUCCUACGCGAUGCUCGUCAUCGUAGGGUUAGUCGGGUCCUAAGUCGAGUCCGAAAGGGGUAGACGAUGGCAAAUUGGUUAAUAUUCCAAUACCAACAUUAGUGUGCGAUGGAAGGACGCUUAGGGCUAAGGGGGCUAGCGGAUGGAAGUGCUAGUCUAAGGUCGUAGGAGGUUAUACAGGCAAAUCCGUAUAACAAUACUCCGAGAACUGAAAGGCUUUUUGAAGUCUUCGGAUGGAUAGAAGAACCCCUGAUGCCGUCGAGCCAAGAAAAGUUUCUAAGUUUAGCUAAUGUUGCCCGUACCGUAAACCGACACAGGUGGGUGGGAUGAGUAUUCUAAGGCGCGUGGAAGAACUCUCUUUAAGGAACUCUGCAAAAUAGCACCGUAUCUUCGGUAUAAGGUGUGGUUAGCUUUGUAUUAGGAUUUACUCCGAAAGCAAGGAAACUUACAACAAAGAGUCCCUCCCGACUGUUUACCAAAAACACAGCACUCUGCUAACUCGUAAGAGGAUGUAUAGGGUGUGACGCCUGCCCGGUGCUCGAAGGUUAAUUGAUGGGGUUAGCAUUAGCGAAGCUCUUGAUCGAAGCCCGAGUAAACGGCGGCCGUAACUAUAACGGUCCUAAGGUAGCGAAAUUCCUUGUCGGUUAAAUACCGACCUGCAUGAAUGGCGUAACGAGAUGGGAGCUGUCUCAAAGAGGGAUCCAGUGAAAUUGUAGUGGAGGUGAAAAUUCCUCCUACCCGCGGCAAGACGGAAAGACCCCGUGGACCUUUACUACAGCUUGACACUGCUACUUGGAUAAGAAUGUGCAGGAUAGGUGGGAGGCUUUGAGUAUAUGACGCCAGUUGUAUAUGAGCCAUUGUUGAGAUACCACUCUUUCUUAUUUGGGUAGCUAACCAGCUUGAGUUAUCCUCAAGUGGGACAAUGUCUGGUGGGUAGUUUGACUGGGGCGGUCGCCUCCCAAAUAAUAACGGAGGCUUACAAAGGUUGGCUCAGAACGGUUGGAAAUCGUUCGUAGAGUAUAAAGGUAUAAGCCAGCUUAACUGCAAGACAUACAAGUCAAGCAGAGACGAAAGUCGGUCUUAGUGAUCCGGUGGUUCUGUGUGGAAGGGCCAUCGCUCAAAGGAUAAAAGGUACCCCGGGGAUAACAGGCUGAUCUCCCCCAAGAGCUCACAUCGACGGGGAGGUUUGGCACCUCGAUGUCGGCUCAUCGCAUCCUGGGGCUGGAGCAGGUCCCAAGGGUAUGGCUGUUCGCCAUUUAAAGCGGUACGCGAGCUGGGUUCAGAACGUCGUGAGACAGUUCGGUCCCUAUCUGCCGUGGGCGUAAGAAGAUUGAAGAGAUUUGACCCUAGUACGAGAGGACCGGGUUGAACAAACCACUGGUGUAGCUGUUGUUCUGCCAAGAGCAUCGCAGCGUAGCUAAGUUUGGAAAGGAUAAACGCUGAAAGCAUCUAAGCGUGAAGCCAACUCUAAGAUGAAUCUUCUCUAAGCUCUCUAGAAGACUACUAGUUUGAUAGGCUGGGUGUGUAAUGGAUGAAAGUCCUUUAGCUGACCAGUACUAAUAGAGCGUUUGGCUUAUCUUUAAUAAAGCAU
rnacentral:rRNA from 1 species